rnacentral:rRNA from 1 species
AACGAACGCUGGCGGCAGGCCCAACACAUGCAAGUCGAGCGAGGUAGCAAUACCUAGCGGCGGACGGGUGAGUAACGCGUGGGAACGUGCCCCUUGGUACGGAAUAGCCCCGGGAAACUGGGAGUAAUACCGUAUGAGCUCGACGGAGUAAAGAUUUAUCGCCACGGGAUCGGCCCGCGUUGGAUUAGGUAGUUGGUGGGGGUAAUGGCCUACCAAGCCGACGAUCCAUAGCUGGUUUGAGAGGAUGAUCAGCCACACUGGGACUGAGACACGGCCCAGACUCCUACGGGAGGCAGCAGUGGGGAAUCUUAGACAAUGGGCGCAAGCCUGAUCUAGCCAUGCCGCGUGAGCGAUGAAGGCCUUAGGGUUGUAAAGCUCUUUCAGCUGGGAAGAUAAUGACUGUACCAGCAGAAGAAGCCCCGGCUAACUCCGUGCCAGCCGCCGCGGUAA